GACAGAGGGUGCAAACGUUGUUCGGAAUUACUGGGCGUAAAGCGCGUGUAGGCGGUCUGAAAAGUCGGGUGUGAAAGCCCUGGGCUCAACCCAGGAAGUGCACUCGAAACUGCCAGGCUAGAGUAUCGGAGAGGUUGGUGGAAUUCUCGGUGUAGAGGUGAAAUUCGUAGAUAUCGAGAGGAACACCGGUGGCGAAGGCGGCCAACUGGACGAAUACUGACGCUGAGACUCGAAAGCGUGGGGAGCAAACAGG
rnacentral:rRNA from 1 species